GGAUGUAUAAUUUUAAGGGAUAUGACUGAGUGUUUCUGCCCUGGGUGAAGACCUUCUACUUAUACUUCUUCCUACAGAAGUUUCUGGAAAGGAGAAUGUGUUGAGAACAUCUCGCCACCAUGGCCAUUCUGGAUUCCAUACCUCCUUCACGUCUUCUGGUGUGGACUGUAUGCUGAUGGCAAGCUCUCUUCGGACUGGCCAUAGUUCAAGCGCUCGCAGAAUGUAAGUCCCCAGAGACAUUUACUCCUGUGCCCCCGACAUGGAGAACAGUGCAUGGGACCCAGGAAGUGCUCAGAAAACAUAACUAUGUGUUGAACAGGAACCUGUACCAGAUGUGCCUGUCCCCGACAUUGGACCCUGAGCUCUUUGCGGGAUGGAAACAUACUCUGCUCAUCUCUGUAACCCCAGCUUCUAGCCUCCAGCCUGACACGUGGUCUGUGUGUUGAAAGAAUAGAGGAACCAAAUCCCUCACUCAGAGAGAAACUGGCUUCUGGCUUGCAAGCAGCUUCCUGAAGAGACCCAUGUGGCAAGGAACUGGAGCCCCUUUCCAGCAGGCUCUCUGGUUUCCCUGAAUGGAACCAUGGCUUGCAAGCAACGGCCCACAUCUGACCUGUGGCGAAUUCCUGACGGAGACAGCGGUAGUAACGAGUGCUAAGUCCUUCCACAUUGACUUCUGCAAAGAGCCUUACUAGUCGGGUCUUCUAAGAAAGGGACAAAUCUUGGGCCCAACAAAGAAGACAUAGAAAGAAGGAAGUCUGUGAUAUUGCGAAGAACAGGACGUGGAAAUUUUUCAGUGGUGUAGUCCAGCCCAAGGAGCAUUAAGCUGGCUCAUCAUAUCAGGGAUUUUCCUCAAUGACAUAAAAAUUGCAUGAGUGUGCAAAUGAUUGUCUGAAGAUGUUCUUGGCAGUGUUGUUUAUGAUGAGAGAUAAGAAGCAACCUCAAAUGGCUACGAGUGAGGAGGAAAUGAAGGCACAGAGAUGUUGAGUAAAUGGCACAAUAUCAUAGGGCAAGAGACAGAGCAAGUGAAAACUCGACUACAAGUUUGCCACUGGCUAGGUCCAGGCCAAGGAACCUCCAUGAAGGAUUGCAGGAGAGCUGUCUUGGAGUAUCUGGCUUCAACUUGGAUUCUACGCAAGUUCUCUACAUGAAUAUGAAUCAAUGGAUCCUCCCAUAUCUGGCCAUCUACAUGGUACAAGAGGUCAGAACGGUGACUUUCACGUUUAUGGAAGAAAACAGUACCAUUCUGACUGCCCUUGUGAAGCCAGACAGCCCCUGACCCUUCUAUUUCCUAUUAGCAAGAGGGGAGCAAAGCAUAUGAUAGUGACUCCAGCAUGCUUGCCUCUGAACUCUACAAUGGGCUUGUCCAUCGUAGACGCGGCCAAGCAAUGUCUGUGUCCUGAGCCAGCAGGUCACUCUUCCCUGCUCUUCUGGAGGAAUCAGAGAUUGGGGGCAGAGAAGCAAGUCGAUGGGGUGGAAACUCCCACCAUUGUCCUCUGGUGCAAAGAUCCUGAAGUCUACACUCUAAGUGGGCAGUGUAUACUCAAGACCAAGAAGAGAAGUCAGAACUUGGUCAUAAAGUGGUUAUCAUCAGAUUCCUAAAAAGCCAUGAUUGAACAGAGACACGUCUGGUUGAGUGUGGGUCAGAGGUAGAACCCUGGCCAACGAACAUGGAGGAGCAGACUUGGUUUCUAGUCGUCACCAGUCCAGCAAUGGCAUGAGUUGUCUUGUGAGAAUCCCUCCAGAUCUUCCUCUUUACCCAUGUAUCUGACAUCAGGCGUUUAUAGCCACCAUUCAAGCGACCGCAGUGAGAGAGAAACAGGCAUCAGGCCACCUUACAGCCUGCUGCUUUAAUUAACAAGGCUCGUUCCUGCCCAGGUGUGUGGGCUACCAUAUAUGCAGCCAGCGGCUUGGACAAGGCUGAAAUCAAAACGAAUGUGUGCGCUGUGUUUGGACAGAUGAGACCCCCACCUGCCACGCUGUGGAGUGACGCCUUUCAGGUUUGGAGGGAGCCGUUCCCCGCCAUAAAGCUGGAAGGCAGCAGUGAGCCCAUCAUCCACUGUUGGCAGGUUUGAGGAGUCCAGAUGUCCAUCAUGAAAUGGGUUAUUUAAUGUAUCUGUGGGCUGUUUGCAGAAUGGGAAUGCCUCCGUUUUUUGCAAACACCGAGUGUGCAAAUGCCAAAUGUGUUUGCCAUCAGCAUCAACUUGUGCAAGGGUACCAAAUGUGCACAAAGGACUCUUUGUAUUCCAUCCGAUGCAAAUCAAACAUUUUGCAUUUCAAUUGAUGUCUACUUAAUUCUAUUUCUUACCCAGAAGCAGCUCCAUUAGGUCACCCUGCCAAACUCUGGUGUCCCUAUGGACUUCUCCCUAUGGGGCAGUUAUCAAACUUGACUGUCUCUGGAGCCCUUGGAUGUGGCACGGUGCUGACCCUACUCACCUCCAUCCCAUCCCAUCCAAGCCUGCUUAGCCGAAAGGGACUGGAAGAAUAACCCUGGUUUAGAGGAGAUGCCUCCAAGACAAGAUUCGGAGAAAAAUAAUUCUUUUUGCACACAAACGAAAGUAGGGGCAUUGUCAGACUCUCAACAUCAAAUGCAUUACUUAAUCCCCUUCCCUUAAAUCUGUAACUUUUAGCUGUGUGUGUGUGCAUGUGUGUGCGUGUGCAUGUGUGUGAAUGGGUGUGCAAGACUUAUACCUUUGAGACUGUGUUUAUAGAAGCUGAUUCACUUCCUAAGAGGGGAAAUGUAUAUAUGUACAUGUAUUCGGAAUACUGUGAGCAUUUUUAGGGCGGACUCAUGGACCUUCUAAAUGUCUAUGGAUUAAGAAACUGCUCCCUUUUCUACGUAUGGUUCAAACCACAUCAAAAGUUUAUUAAAAUUGCUGAUAACCAUCUGAA